GAGCGAACAGGAUUAGAUACCCUGGUAGUCCACGCUGUAAACGAUGGAUACUAGCUGUNUGGAGCAAUCUGAGUGGCUAAGCGAAAGUGAUAAGUAUCCCGCCUGGGGAGUACGCACGCAAGUGUGAAACUCAAAGGAAUUGACGGGGGCCCGCACAAGCGGUGGAGCAUGUGGUUUAAUUCGAUGAUACGCGAGGAACCUUACCAAGGUUUAAAUGGGGACUGACAGAGGUAGAGAUACCUCCUUCUUCGGACAGUUUUCAAGGUGCUGCAUGGUUGUCGUCAGCUCGUGCCGUGAGGUGUCAGGUUAAGUCCUAUAACGAGCGCAACCCCUGCCAUUAGUUGCUAACGAGUCAAGUCGAGCCCUNUAGUGGGACUGCCGGUGCAAACCGUGAGGAAGGUGGGGAUGACGUCAAAUCAUCACGGCCCUUACAUCUUGGGCUACACACGUGCUACAAUGGCCGUUACAGAGAGCAGCCACUGCGCGAGCAGGAGCGAAUCUAAAAAGACGGUCACAGUUCGGAUCGGAGUCUG
rnacentral:rRNA from 1 species